CGGGCGGGUGCGCCGGGCGGUUGCCGGCCGGCCCUCGUGCGGCCGGACGGUUCGGCCGCGCGCCGGGAUCGCUUCCCCGCCGCGCGGCC
rnacentral:tRNA from 1 species